UACGGAGGGGGCUAGCGUUGUUCGGAAUUACUGGGCGUAAAGCGCGCGUAGGCGGACCUGCAAGUCGGGGGUGAAAGCCCGGAGCUCAACCUCGGAACUGCCUUCGGUACUGCGGGGCUCGAGAACGGGAGAGGUGAGUGGAAUUCCCAGUGUAGAGGUGAAAUUCGUAGAUAUUAGGAAGAACACCAGUGGCGAAGGCGGCUCACUGGCCCGGUUCUGACGCUGAGGCGCGAAAGCGUGGGGAGCAAACAGG
rnacentral:rRNA from 1 species